rnacentral:misc_RNA from 1 species
CGCACCUUGCGCCCCUCGGUAUUCCGUGGGGCACGCCUGUUUGAGUGUCACGUGAAACCAUCGCCUCGAGCUCGUCUCUGAGUGCGGACUUGGAUGUUGCCGUUGAACCACCUUCGGCUCGUCUUGAAAUGCAUUAGCGGUGCCAAAUGCCCCGGCGCGCCUCGGUGUGAUAGACAUCAUCGCCGCGAAGCGCCUGGUGUGGCUCAGCUCACAGUCGUCUUCGGACAAUCUUUAACGCUCUGGCCUCAAAUCAGGUGGGACUACCCGCUGAACUUAA